rnacentral:rRNA from 1 species
UACGUAGGGGGCUAGCGUUAUCCGGAAUUACUGGGCGUAAAGGGAGCGUAGGCGGACUUUUAAGUGAGAUGUGAAAUACUCGGGCUCAACUUGAGUGCUGCAUUUCAAACUGGAGGUCUAGAGUGCAGGAGAGGAGAAUGGAAUUCCUAGUGUAGCGGUGAAAUGCGUAGGGAUUAGAAAGAACACCAGUGGCGAAGGCGAUUCUCUGGACUGUAACUGACGCUGAGGCUCGAAAGCGUGGGGAGCAAACAGG